rnacentral:rRNA from 1 species
GAUGAACGCUGGCGGCGUGCCUAAUACAUGCAAGUCGAGCGAACAGACGAGGAGCUUGCUCCUUUGACGUUAGCGGCGGACGGGUGAGUAACACGUGGAUAACCUACCUAUAAGACUGGGAUAACUUCGGGAAACCGGAGCUAAUACCGGAUAACAUGUUGAACCGCACGGUUCAACAGUGAAAGACGGUCUUGCUGUCACUUAUAGAUGGAUCCGCGCCGCAUUAGCUAGUUGGUAAGGUAACGGCUUACCAAGGCAACGAUGCGUAGCCGACCUGAGAGGGUGAUCGGCCAAACUGGAACUGAGACACGGUCCAGACUCCUACGGGAGGCAGCAGUAGGGAAUCUUCCGCAAUGGGCGAAAGCCUGACGGAGCAACGCCGCGUGAGUGAAGAAGGUCUUCGGAUCGUAAAACUCUGUUAUUAGGGAAGAACAAAUGUGUAAGUAACUAUGCACGUCUUGACGGUACCUAAUCAGAAAGCCACGGCUAACUACGUG